AUCGAACGCUGGCGGCAGGCCUAACACAUGCAAGUCGAGCGAGCGGAGGACGGGCGAGUAAUGUAUGGAGAUCUGCCUGAUAGAGGGGGCUAACUACGGGAACCGGUGGCUAAUACUGCAUACUAUCGGAUGAACCCACGUUGGAUUAGCUAGUAGGUGGGGUAAAGGCUCACCUAGGCGAAGAUGUCUAGCUGGACCGAGAGGAUGAUCAGCCACACUGGGACUGAGACACGGCCCAGACUCCUACGGGAGGCAGCAGUAGGGAAUAUUGCACAAUGGGGGCAACCCUGACUCAGCAAUGCCGCGUGAAUGAAGAAGGCCUUCGGGUUGUAAAGUUCUGUCGGUAGCGAAGCGUUAACUACAGAGAAAGCACCGGCUAACUCCGUGCCAGCAGCCGCGGUAAUAC
rnacentral:rRNA from 1 species